UUUUUCUCUGCUUCCAACCCGUCAUUUUGCCGACCUGCCUGUUGACCAAGCGGAGCGCUCAAGCCUCAAGGGGACGAGGGGGAGGGGAGAGGCGAUUGCUCGUCGGCGGCUGAUUCUGUCCCGCUCCGCGACUCCGGGAUUCGUGCGGUCCAGGGGCGAGGGUAGCUUCUUCACCUCCUCAAUCGUGAAGUCUGGCACCUGAUGCGGCACCGCCAGCGGCGGCUCGGGCUCGUUGCCGAGCGUGCCCAUGGAGAGCAGGCUCCAAUCGCCGCCAGCUCCCGCGCCAUUGAUCUCCUCGCGGCAGUUGUCUCGACGAUUUCAUCAGUCGGCUCGUACAUCACCGUGGCUGCGAUGCGUCUAGGCCAAAGCAGAGAAGUGGGCGUCUCUACUCGUCGGUGGAGUUUGCUCGCUCCUGUCCGGAGAAGACACCAAUGGCUCUCCAUCCCCCAUCCUUCAGGGAUGAGGUCUCGCUUUGUGCCGUGCGGUGAGUUUGUCCCGUCGAAAUGGUUGUGCUAGUUCGUUUUUACUUCAGGUUUUGCUUCUGAUUUUUUGCUCUGCUUAUUGUUCGGGGAGGAUGUGGCUAUGCAAAGGAGGCCCAGGCAAAGCUCUUAUCUUCAGCGUAGGGAUCUGCUCACCCCAUUUCCGGUGUGCUUCGUUUGUUCUGCCCCGUCGAAUGAUUGUCUCGGUUGAGAUAGAUGGAGGGCGUUUCUGAACUGUUUUGUGCGUGGUUGUUAUUGUGAUGAUGUACCCGCUCUAGCUGCAGUUGUUGUGGGUUGAAUGCUGGACUAGGUUACCCUAAAUUUCAUUAUUUGAUUAGCCGUUGAUGAGUGUUGUGUUUUUUGGUGAUUCCCGAGUCUCAUGUGCUAGAUAAUGUGAUGUGGAUCUGCUCUGUAGGUAUGCAAUGGAGAUUUUUCACGCGUCUAGGUCAUGCAUCUAUCAACUCUACCUAAUUUAUUUUUUAUGAGUAAUUUUCUGUUUAUUUGGACCUAAUCGAGCAAAUGCCGUGUUAUGUGUCUUUUCUGAUUCGUAUGUGCUAAUAGGACCUUUUAUUAGACAAUUUGUUUGAAUUUCGGUGGUGGCUGUCUAAAUUAAAUUGCUCUCUCAGAGAAUGCAAUAUGUUUUUGAAAUUGGUACAGCCUUCUGAAAUCAUUUUGUUGGAAUUAAAAUUUGGUCUAAUCAAACCAUGCAAUUGCACUAGCUCCAGACUUUGUAUUUUUCUGAUUUGGAUAAACCAGGAGAUCAUUAUCUGCAGUGUAUGUGUUUAUUCCCUAUGCAAAUUUUGACCGAAAGUAAUUUUAAUUAAUAAGAAGGGGAUACAUGGAGGUAUAAACUUGUCGCACCAGUGGCACCUGGGGUACCACCGCUGCUUGACGCGUGGGUCGUCUCACCUGCUCCCCGCAAGGAUAGCACCCCGGGCAGCACCGCACAAGCUGCCCGGCGAGUCACCAGCCCGGCAGGGCUAGCCGGGCUGCGGGGGUUACCCUGGAAGGCGACGAGAGAAUUCCUGCCUAGGCGCUCCCCAGGAAGGUCACUUGCUGGGGAGGACGUUCCCAGGCGCAGGCACCUACAACAGGGACGGUACCCAGCAGGCAGAGCAUUGACGCCACGUGCCCGCCCGGCAGAUUCCUUGUGCGCAGGGUUGGUCAGGGCGAGGAGUGUGGCACAAGAAAGCAUUUAAUGUUCCGACAGAAAGGUGAUUCCCCAUCCAGUCAGCCCACAGUGACUGGCCCGCAGUGAAUCUAGGGCACGUACCGCCCUAGUUGCAGCGCUACGUACCGAGCAUGCAAGCCAGCGCAGCAAGGGCAAGCUGCUUAGGGUCUUUGCUCAACACUUGUCACCCAUGCACCAAGGCACCUGUGGCAUCCCCUUGAGUAUAAAAGGAGGACCAUCGUCAACGGUCAAAGGGUUCGGUUCUUACUAGUUUUAGCCUAGAAAUAGCAAGUAGCACUUAGCAGGAAAGGAGAGAGCGCCCGGAGACACCCCCGGCAACUUGUAAACCCUAGUUAAUUGGCUAAUACGAGCUCAGAAGCAGGACGUAGGGUUUUACACCUCAGGGUGGCCCGAACCUGGGUAAAGCAGUCUUGUGCAUCUUCACGCUUGACAUUGGCCUCGCCGGCGAUCGCCGGAGCGAUCCCCAACGCCCACUGCCGAACCAAAAAGGGGGUGCCUCGCAUCCCCGGUGUCUAAGCCCUAGGCUACGACAAAACUAAAGUAAAUCAAUCUUAAUUUGUGUUUGGUUUCAGUGGGAGAUGGAAUGCAACUUACCUACAUGGUGCAAUUGCAUUGUUAUUUCAUCUUUAUUAUUUUUAUACAACCGUAUACACACCCGGGCAAUUGCAAUGCUAUUAGAUUAUGUGUUACAUUUCCCAAGCUUUGUCCUCUUGUAUAUGUCUAUGUUCUUUAUGCCAUGUUAUAUGUAUAUGGGGUAUUCUUAUAUGCAAUGCAAUUAGAGCACAUGUAUGCUGCAAUUGCAGAGUGUUAUCUAUCCAAUAACAUAGUGCAAUUUUAUUAUUUGCAUUGCGCUAGACAUACCAAAUUAUGAUGCAUGAUUUUUUUAUCAGCACUGUCCUUUUUCUAUAAGGGUAUAUGUCUCCUGUUCUUUCUGCCCUUGGGGUAUCGAUUUUAUAUGCAACGCAAUUAGAGCACAUAUAUGUUUUGCAAUUGCGUCAUAUGAUCAACUCAUUUGCAUUGGACCAUGAAGCAUGUAGGUGUGUGGGGGAAGGGUUGGGCAUUUUGUUUUGUCUCAAAUGGCACACAUACCUGAUUCAAGAGCACAUUGUUCCAAUCAAAUAUUCCACAUGGUCUUAUGUAUUCUUCUGGCUCUUCUAUUUGUUGCAUUUUAUCCCUGCAAUCAGUGUACUAAAUCAUAAGCAUCUAUUUGCAUUGAUAUACUGUUCCAUCUGAUCAUUCUUACAUGUAUUUUUAAUCACUGUACCAAUUUACUUCUUUUAAUAUUCCUUGUAUCAAAUUUGGAAGAAUUUUGAGUUUAGAUCAAUACAAGAAGGUUGAGCGCGCACACACCUUGUUGACUGUGGAUUGAGGUUAGAUUCCACCUCACUUUGUUUUGCUUGUUGGUCCUUCUGAUUCGGCUUGUGAUUUUGAUCAUGCUCAUCGCUCGAUUUCAUCUUGUCAUUGCCGCCUUUUUCCUCGCAGCUGCCAUGACUUUUUGUGCCCCUUGCACUAUCCAAAUUGGGAAGCCUCGUUUCUUCUUUUUUUUUUUCAUGUCCUUGUUGGGUUGGCUCGAUCGGCUCAUUAAUUGGGGUUCAUUAACGGGUCCAUUAAUCUAGCUUAGGAGCCCAGCCACGCGAAGCUCUGUCCGUUUACAUGCAUAUUCAAUUGCAUGCCCAGCAGAUGACGUUUUUGUUGCAAUUGCAGCUCCCUACAAUUUGAAUUGCACCAGCAGGAUUAAACUGAAUUUUUCCAAUUUAGAAAGUUCAUGCAGUGCUUUCACAAUCUUUUGGUAGUGCAAUUCUAGAAUUAACUUGUUGCAAUUGCUUUUUUUGGGGUUUAUGUGUUUUAUAUUCCCAUAAUCUCCUGCAAAACAGGGAACUUGGGACUAAUUUGAAUUUUGGUUCUGCAUCAGGGGAGCGUACAUAUAGUCUUCUUGUCUGUGAUUUAGGUUACGAUACUCUGUUCUGUUGCCGAAGUGCAUGAUCUGGUGGUAGUCGGCCACUCCCAGGUAAAGAGCAUUAAGCCGGGCACUCAAGUCUUUGUUUGUGUAAGUAGUAAUUUAUGUGUGUGUUUUUAAUUCCAGGAUCAAGAAUAUUCACCUAUGAUUUAUGCUACACCUAGCACCAUUUAGUUGUUAAUUAUGUGGUGGAUUUGCACUGCAUUUUAUUGGCCAUUGCAUUACAUAUACUUUGCAACUAAAAUUGUGCCAAAGUGCAAUUGCAAAUAAGAUAGCUUAAGAGUUCUUAAAUUGAUAUUUUAUUCUGAUUGUGUAUGUCAAUAGGUCCUUACGUAGAGUUAGAAAAUUUGAAUGUCAAUUUUGCUAGCGUAUUUUAGUUUUGGAAAGCAGUUGACCUGUCGGCCAUCCGAUUACGUUUGGAGAUUCACGUCACGAGUUCUGUAAUUUUUGGUCUUAUGAUUUCUUUUGUUCUCCCUUCUCUGUUCAGACCUGCAGAUACUGAAUUUUUAUAAUCAAGAUGUUCUGUUCUUGCACCUGUCGCAAAAUUCAAUUGCAGUCUUGUUUGCACUAGUAGUUAAGUUCAAAUUUCAAUGGAUUUAUUUUUGAAUUGCAUCCAAGCUGUUAUGGUUUUGCACCUGUGGCAAAGUGCAAUUGCAGUCAUUUUGCACCAGUAGCUAAGUUCAAUUGCAAUAGAUUUAUGUAAGUGUGGAUACAGAGUGUAGAACCAGACCAACGUAAUGUUCUAGGUUUCUAUGUUGUAGCGCGUAGGCUCUAAUUUUUCAUGGAAAGGAACUCUUGCAUAGUUGCAAAAGACUUGUUAGAAAUUUGACUUGAAACUGUACAUCGUUAUUACUUCUAAAAUUUAAUUGCACUCCUUCCAUUGCUGCAAAUCCAUUUUUUUCAAAUUGCAAUUGUUCUAUCUAGUUUUGCUUGUUUUGUCAUUAUGGAUUCUUUUAUCCAAAUUGCACUUAAUUUUCGCGGUUUUUGAAACUGCAAUGUCCAGUUUACGAUUGUGCAGCCCGGCGGCAACAUCAUACUCCUUGUUGUCAUCCCAUCACAAAGCUCAAGCAGGAAGUUCUGGGGCUUUCCACUAUUUGCGGAAGAUUGCGCAAGUGGCCAUAAGACCAUGUUGGAUCAGAAGUCAGAUAUCUCAGAGCUGUGUUCUCAAAUGAUGCUUAAACUUCAUGAUGUUUAUGACGCAAACAAGACAAAUGUGAAGAUUAAGGUUAUUUCUGGGUCUGCUUCUGGUAUUGUAGUUGCUGAGUCUAAGCGAGCACAAGCAAGCUGGGUUGUGCUAGAUAAAUAAGUAUUGUAAUGUUUUUCUGUACACAUUAGUCACUUGCUACAGAAAAGAGGAUUACCAUUUUUUGUCUGCAAGCAAGCUGUUUGUUUUAGUAGAGUUGUAUUCUUGUCUUGCCUGUUGCAGUUCUGUCUUGUUCCAGUAGUGGAUCGAAGUUAGUAAUGUUGUCAUAAAUCUAUCAUUGUUAAGCUAUGCUUGAAAUAUAUUUCAGGUUGUAAUAAUAAACAGUGGAACGGGCUGCUAGACAAAAGAUUGUUGUUGCUAAAUUUUAGUAGAGGCUGAAUUUUAUUU